rnacentral:rRNA from 1 species
GUGCCAGCAGCCGCGGUAAUACGUAGGUGGCAAGCGUUAUCCGGAAUUAUUGGGCGUAAAGCGCGCGCAGGUGGUUUCUUAAGUCUGAUGUGAAAGCCCACGGCUCAACCGUGGAGGGUCAUUGGAACCUGGGAGACUUGAGUGCAGAAGGGGAAAGUGGAAUUCCAUGUGUAGCGGUGAAAUGCGUAGAUAUAUGGAGGAACACCAGGGGCGAAGGAGAUUUUCUGGUCUGUAACUGACACUGAGGCGCGAAA